GCAGUCGAGCGGUAGAGAGGUGCUUGCUCCUCUUGAGAGCGGCGGACGNGGUGAGUAAUGCCUAGGAAUCUGCCUGGUAGUGGGGGAUAACGCUCGGAAACGGACGCUAAUACCGCAUACGUCCUACGGGAGAAAGCAGGGGACCUUCGGGCCUUGCGCUAUCAGAUGAGCCUAGGUCGGAUUAGCUAGUUGGUGAGGUAAUGGCUCACCAAGGCGACGAUCCGUAACUGGUCUGAGAGGAUGAUCAGUCACACUGGAACUGAGACACGGUCCAGACUCCUACGGGAGGCAGCAGUGGGGAAUAUUGGACAAUGGGCGAAAGCCUGAUCCAGCCAUGCCGCGUGUGUGAAGAAGGUCUUCGGAUUGUAAAGCACUUUAAGUUGGGAGGAAGGGCAGUUACCUAAUACUUAKCUGUUUUGACGUUACCGACAGAAUAAGCACCGGCUAACUCUGUGCCAGCAGCCGCGGUAAUACAGAGGGUGCAAGCGUUAAUCGGAAUUACUGGGCGUAAAGCGCGCGUAGGUGGUUCGUUAAGUUGGAUGUGAAAUCCCCGGGCUCAACCUGGGAACUGCAUUCAAAACUGACUAACUAGAGUAUGGUAGAGGGUGGUGGAAUUUCCUGUGUAGCGGUGAAAUGCGUANAUAUAGGAAGGAACACCAGUGGCGAANGCGACCACCUGGACUGAUACUGACACUGNNNUGCGAAAGCGUGGGGAGCAAACAGGAUUANAUACCCUG
rnacentral:rRNA from 1 species